UUUCUUCUUGGAGGGCUUCUCAAAAUUUUUCUUCCUCCGUCUCACCUCUGAUUAGGGGGCAUCUCAAAAUCCUGUUCCUUUCUUUCUCCCUCAACGCAAUAGCACACCUCCUCAGAUUAGCAGCCGGAGUAGAUGCCAACCCAUCUUCAUGGUCUACAGGGUUUUGGGAACUCCAAAUGAGGAGGUGUGGCCUGGCACCACUGCAGAAAAAUUGGCAUGAAUUCCACAAUGGCAGCCAAAGAGCUUAUCAACAGCCGUAACUGAUCUUGGCCCAUUGGGCCUCAAUCUUCUCCAGAUGAGGUUGCAAUAUGAACCGUCAAAAAGCAUCUCUGCAAAGAAGCCGAUGGAGAACAGACACUUUGAUGAUUUGGACAAGACGAACCUCUGAGAAAGAAGUGUUUACUCCUUACCAAAAAUGGAGUGCUUUCUUUUUUUUGCUUUUCUUGAGCAUCCAUUUAGUAACAAUUUGUACUUAACUAAGCGUGGAUGAUACAAGAAAACCACACAUGAAUUUGAAUGAAUGGCACAUCCUGAAUAACCUUUUUGUUCCAUGAAAUUUUUUCCUCUUGUUAAAAUGUGAUAUUUAUUGUCUUUUUACAUGCCUGUUUGGGAAAUGAAUCAAGGAAUUUUGGUGGACAUCGGUGUCAUGUAUAUCAAAUCUAGAUCUUUGUUUGCAGGCUCAGUUGUAGCACAACUAGCGAUUGCCUUUGUAAAUCAAGGACCAAUGUCAAGGAAAAUAUUUGACAAUGUAAUUUUUGUUAUGCAAACAUGUUUAGACAAAGAAAUGAAUUUUAUUUUUGUGA